GUGUCAGCCGCCGCGGUAAUACGGGGGGAGCAAGCGUUGUUCGGAAUCACUGGGCGUAAAGGGCGUCUAGGCGGUUCGGUAAGUGGGAUGUGAAAUGCCCGGGCUCACCCCGGGACCUGCAUCCCAAACUGCUGAGCUUGAGUACAGGAGAGGGUAGGGGAAUUCCAGGUGUAGCGGUGAAAUGCGUAGAUAUCUGGAGGAACACCGGUGGCGAAGGCGCCUACCUGGCCUGUUACUGACGCUGAAGCGCGAAAGCUAGGGGAGCAAACGGGAUUAGAAACCCCUGUAGUCC
rnacentral:rRNA from 1 species